rnacentral:rRNA from 1 species
AUUGAACGCUGGCGGCGUGCUUAACACAUGCAAGUCGAACGAUGAUCUCCAGCUUGCUGGGGGGAUUAGUGGCGAACGGGUGAGUAACACGUGAGUAACCUGCCCUUGACUCUGGGAUAAGCCUGGGAAACUGGGUCUAAUACCGGAUAUGACUGACUAUCGCAUGGUGGUUGGUGGAAAGCUUUUGUGGUUUUGGAUGGACUCGCGGCCUAUCAGCUUGUUGGUGGGGUAAUGGCCUACCAAGGCUACGACGGGUAGCCGGGCUGAGAGGGUGGCCGGCCACACUGGGACUGAGACACGGCCCAGACUCCUACGGGAGGGAGGAGUGGGGAAUAUUGCACAAUGGGCGGACGCCUGAUGCAGCGACGCCGCGUGAGGGAUGACGGCCUUCGGGUUGUAUACCUCUUUCAGUAGGGAAGAAGCGUAAGUGACGGUACCUGCAGAAGAAGCGCCGGCUAACUACGUGCCAGCAGCCGCCGUAA